CACGGAAAAAAUAAUCGGUAACGGGAGUGUCGAAUCAAGCGAAGCUCUUCAGAUUAUGUGGUCUAUUUGCUCCUUUCCCCCUUUCCCCUUUUUGAUUUUCAGAUCCGCUUUGCUUAACCUCAAUCCCCAACUGAUAUUCAGCACGUCCACCAUAUGGAGGAGGAACUGCCCGAGGAGAUUAUCAAUCCGAAGUUCUGCGGCAUAGAUACCUCGUCUGUCCACAGAAGCUUAUCCCUGCUUAUCCUCGCAUCUCACCCUAUCUGCAGCACUAGGACGAACUCUCGGUGAAGUUCCUCGAUCCGGAGUACAUCCGGAGUAUUGCGGGAUAGACAUCUCAUCUGGCCCGUAAGGUUGAUGUCGUCCUAGCAGGUACAGGGAGGAGAUUCCUAGGUGAGUGUAUUAAGUGUUUCUCCAUUGAUUCGGACGCAGCUUCAGUGCCUAAAGGCACCUGCCUUUGGGUCCUUGACAUGUGGGCCAGCCACCUGUUGGACCCACAUGUCAUAGGCACAAAGGCAUGUGCCUUAAGGCACCGAAGCGCAGUCCCAUUGAUUCAUAUUUUGUUCCCCUUAGACAUUUUGAUUUUUUACUUUGAAUCCACUCUGAUAGGUUGCGAUUCACUAAUGGAGAAGGCCUACUUAGAUGUAUUGACAGAGAGAAGCAACAUGGAGUUUGACCACUAGCAGCUUGUGAACAAGCUGAAGAACAUAAUAUAUGACAAUAAUUCGCAAUGAAAUUAGGAUGUCAACGAGGUUGGAUUUUCAGACUAAGCAAUGUGUGGCAUCUAAUUCUUCAAUUGUUAUCCUUCCUGCCGUGUUGUCUUAUGUUCGUCCUGUCUACGUAGGAUUUAGUUUAAUGGUUCAGAGUGGCUGUAUCAAUUUCCUAGAUUACCUUGUGUCACUUGUAUCAUUACUACAAAAUAUCAUGUUUUGAUGCACUGGAAUAUGCAUAGUUUAAUACAACCUCGCUCUCAAAAUAAGUGUCUCAAUUUCAGUUUUGAUACACUUAUUUUGGGAUUUAAGGAGUAUGGUACUACAAUUUGGGUAACUGACCAGGAUGUAUUGAGAUUGUGCUUGCGAGCCUGGAUUGAUGUCAUUUUUGUAACUGGACUUAUUCAAUAAAGUUCAGUACAUUCCACUAGUAAAGUGC
rnacentral:lncRNA from 1 species